AGGCGGCCCGCGGGCGGCUGUGGGCGGGAGUUCGGCCCUCCGGGUCCGCCCGCGCCCUGAAGCCUGCGGCCAGGGGACCCGCUGCCAAGGAGGGGGCGGCGGCGGGGCCGGGAACGCGCGGCCCGGCCUGGCUGAGGAACCAGCAGGCCCCCACAGGCCCUCGUACAGUGCCUCCAGGGACUUAAACCUGCCGCAGCCAUGUGGUUACCCUGAUCUAUCUGCUGGGAGAGGAGCAAAGCUCAGAGAGGGACCAGAUCUCAGCAGAGACGAAACCAGCAGCAGUUCCUGAACACCCACCCUGCCGUGGUUCCAGAAGUGCAACAUGGACCAACCUGUGAGCAUUUGCUCUUCCUCAGGGGCACUUUCCCUUUUCAAAGAAGAGUUCAGCAGUGCUUCCACCCAGAAGACUAACUUCUGAGAAAUAAAACAGCUGGGAGACAGAAGGAAGUAGCUGACCUGUCAAAUCUACCAACAGAACAAAAGAACCAAACCAAAACAGUUCAAAACAAUAUGGUCAGGGGCUUCCCUGGUGGCGCAGUGGUUGAGAGUCCGCCUGCCGAUGCAGGGGACGCGGGUUCGUGCCCCGGUCCGGGAGGAUCCCACGUGCCGCGGAGCGGCUGGGCCCGUGAGCCAUGGCCGCUGAGCCUGCGCGUCCGGAGCCUGUGCUCCGCAACGGGAGAGGCCACAACAGUGAGAG